rnacentral:rRNA from 1 species
UUUUUACAAUGGAGAGUUUGAUCCUGGCUCAGGAUGAACGCUAGCGGCAGGCCUAACACAUGCAAGUCGAGGGGCA